CCUACGGGAGGCAGCAGUAGGGAAUAUUGCUCAAUGGGGGAAACCCUGAAGCAGCAACGCCGCGUGGAGGAUGACGGUUUUCGGAUUGUAAACUCCUUUUGUUAGAGAAGAUAAUGACGGUAUCUCACGAAUAAGCACCGGCUAACUCCGUGCCAGCAGCCGCGGUAAGACGGCGGGUGCAAGCGUUACUCGGAAUCACUGGGCGUAAAGAGCGCGUAGGCGGGAUAGCAAGUCAGAUGUGAAAUCCUAUGGCUUAACCAUAGAACUGCAUUUGAAACUGUUAUUCUAGAGUAUGGGAGAGGUAGGUGGAAUGCUUGGUGUAGGGGUAAAAUCCGUAGAGAUCAAGAGGAAUACUCAUUGCGAAGGCGACCUGCUAGAACAUAACUGACGCUGAGGCGCGAAAGCGUGGGGAGCAAACAGGAUUAGAUACCCUUGUAGUC
rnacentral:rRNA from 1 species